AUUGAACGCUGGCGGCAGGCCUAACACAUGCAAGUCGAGCGAGCGGCGGACGGGUGAGUAAUGUAUGGGGACUGCCCGAUAGAGGGGGAUAACUACUGGAAACGGUGGCUAAUACAGCAUACUAUCGGAUAACCCAUAUGGGAUUAGCUAGUGGGUGGGGUAAAGGCGCACCUAGGCGACGAUCUCUAGCUGGUCUGAGAGGAUGAUCAGCAACACGGGGACUGAGAAACGGCCCAGAUCCCUACGGAGGCAGCAGUGGGGAAUAUUGCACAAGGGGAGAAAGCAUGAUGCAGCCAUGCCGCGUGUAUGAAGAAGGCCUUAGGGUUGUAAAGUACUUUCAGCGGGGAGGCGUUACCCGCAGAAGAAGCACCGGCUAACUCCGUGCCAGCAGCCGCGGUAAUAC
rnacentral:rRNA from 1 species